GUAGGUGGCAAGCGUUGUCCGGAAUUAUUGGGCGUAAAGCGCGCGCAGGUGGUUCUUUAAGUCUGAUGUGAAAGCCCCCCGGGCUCAACCGGGGAGGGUCAUUGGAAACUGGGGAACUUGAGUGCAGGAGAGGAAAGUGGAAUUCCACGUGUAGCGGUGAAAUGCGUAGAUAUGUGGAGGAACACCAGUGGCGAAGGCGACUUUCUGGCCUGUAACUGACACUGAGGCGCGAAAGCGCGGGGAGCAAACAGGAUUAGAUACCCUGGUAGUCCACGCCGUAAACGAUGAGUGCUAAGUGUUGGGGGGUUUCCGCCCCUCAGUGCUGCAGCUAACGCAUUAAGCACUCCGCCUGGGGAGUACGGUCGCAAAGACUG
rnacentral:rRNA from 1 species